ensembl:misc_RNA Metazoa_SRP Metazoan signal recognition particle RNA
GCUGGGUGUGGUGGCACGUACCUGUAGUCCCAGCUACUUGGGAGGCUGAGGUGGGAGGAUCGCUUGAGCCCAGGAGGUCAAGGCUGCAGUGAGCCUUGAUCAUACCACGGCACUCCAGCCUGGGCAACAGAGCAAGACCCUGUCUCUA